rnacentral:rRNA from 1 species
GUGGGGAAUAUUGCGCAAUGGACGAAAGUCUGACGCAGCGACGCCGCGUGAGUGAUGAAGGCCUUAGGGUCGUAAAGCUCUGUUGAAUGGGAAGAAAAAAAUGACGGUACCAUUCGAGGAAGGACCGGCUAACUUCGUGCCAGCAGCCGCGGUAAUACGAGGGGUCCUAGCGUUGUUCGGAAUCAUUGGGCGUAAAGGGUGUGUAGGUGGCCAUGUAAGUCAGGUGUGAAAGCCCCGGGCUCAACCCGGGAAGUGCACUUGAUACUGCGUGGCUUGAGUACCGAAGAGGGUAGUGGAAUUCCAGGUGUAGUGGUGAAAUACGUAGAUAUCUGGAGGAACACCGGUGGCGAAGGCGGCUACCUGGUCGAGUACUGACACUGAGACACGAAAGCAUGGGGAUCAAACAGGAUUAGAAACCCUGGUAGUCC